rnacentral:miRNA from 10 species
AAAAUGCCAAGUUGAAUGUAAACUUCAGAUAAACAUUGAAUAAUUUUUUGGUGUAAGAAUGUCCCAUGCAAUAUUUGGGAGAUACUUAUACUAAAAAAGUAUUCACUGUUUAUCUGAAAUUCGAAUUUAAUUAGG